rnacentral:rRNA from 1 species
AGAGUUUGAUCCUGGCUCAGAACGUACGCUGGCGGCACGCCUAACACAUGCAAGUCGAACGAAGUAGCAAUACUUAGUGGCAGACGGGUGAGUAACAUGUAGGUAUCUGCCCUUUGGCCUGGAAUAACACGAGGAAACUUGUGCUAAUACCGGAUAAGUCUUUACGGAGAAAGCUUUAUGCACCAUUGGAUGAGCCUGCACUUGAUUAGUUUGUUGGUGGGGUAAUGGCCUACCAAGACUGUGAUCAAUAGCUGAUUUGAGAGGAUGAUCAGCCACAUUGGGACUGAGACACGGCCCAAACUCCUACGGGAGGCAGCAGUGGGGAAUCUUGCACAAUGGAGGAAACUCUGAUGCAGCGAUGCCGCGUGAGUGAAGAAGGCCCUUGGGUUGUAAAGCUCUUUCGUCGGGGAAGAAAAUGACUGUACCCGAAUAAGAAGGUCCGGCUAACUUCGUGCCAGCAGCCGCGGUAAUACGAAGGGACCUAGCGUAGUUCGGAAUUACUGGGCUUAAAGAGUUCGUAGGUGGUUGAAAAAGUUAGUGGUGAAAUCCCAGAGCUUAACUCUGGAACUGCCAUUAAAACUUUUCAGCUAGAGUAUGAUAGAGGAAAGCAGAAUUUCUAGUGUAGAGGUGAAAUUCGUAGAUAUUAGAAAGAAUACCAAUUGCGAAGGCAGCUUUCUGGAUCAUUACUGACACUGAGGAACGAAAGCAUGGGUAGCGAAGAGGAUUAGAUACCCUCGUAGUCCAUGCCGUAAACGAUGUGUGUUAGACGUUGGAAAUUUAUUUUCAGUGUCGCAGGGAAACCGAUAAACACACCGCCUGGGGAGUACGACCGCAAGGUUAAAACUCAAAUGAAUUGACGGGGACCCGCACAAGUAGUGGAGCAUGUGGUUUAAUUCGAAGAUACGCGCAGAACCUUACCAACACUUGACAUGUUCGUCGCGACUCUAAGAGAUUAGAGUUUUCGGUUCGGCCGGACGAAACACAGGUGCUGCAUGGCUGUCGUCAGCUCGUGUCGUGAGAUGUUGGGUUAAGUCCCGCAACGAGCGCAACCCUCACUUUUAGUUGCCAUCAUUAAGUUGGGCACUCUGAAAGAACUGCCAGUGAUAAGCUGGAGGAAGGUGGGGAUGACGUCAAGUCCUCAUGGCCCUUACGUGUUGGGCUACACACGUGCUACAAUGGUAUCUACAACAGGAAGCAAGACUGCGAAGUUAAGCAAAUCCCUAAAAGAUACCUCAGUUCGGAUUGCACUCUGCAACUCGAGUGCAUGAAGCUGGAAUUACUAGUAAUCGUGGAUCAGCGUGCCACGGUGAAUGCGUUCCCGGGUCUUGUACACACCGCCCGUCACACCAUGGGAGUUGGUUCUACCUUAAGGCAAGGUUUCAAACCCUUGACCACGGUAUAGUCAGCGACUGGGGUGAAGUCGUAACAAGGUA